rnacentral:rRNA from 11 species
GCAGAUGACAAAAUACCCUAAAGAUGACAAAUCUCACCUGAUCUUGGAGGCUAAGCAGAGUCAACCCUUGUAACUACUUGGAUGGGAGACUGUCAACAAAUACCAGGUGCUGUCGGCU